UGUUCCAGUCUAUGAUAGCAAUUCAGUCAUGUAGUUUAGCAUAUGCUUCAUCUGACCACUUUUUUUUGACCGAGUCACUGGUGCUUCCUGCUUUAAUUUUAGCUUGUAAGCAGGAAUCAGGACAAUAGAGCUGUGGUCGGAUUUACCAAAUGGAGGGAGAGCUUUGUACACAUCUCUGUGUGUGGAGUACAGGUGGGCAAUGACUGAUGCAAGGACAGAGGGAUGGAUGCCAUGCUUGCCUGCCUGCCUGCUUGCUUGCUUGCCUGGCACUGUAAUGCUGUUGAUGUCUCUGAACUGUCAUGCUCUUAGUGCCUGAUGUUACAUAAGACUGGUAAGGUCAUUGUGUCUCACUCUCACAACCACUGACUGUCUUAAGGCCUUGUGAUUCCAGGCUGGAACCUGUGUGUUGUGUUGGGUAUCACACUACAGGACAGGACAUGAUGUACAGGACCUGAGCCCUAGGACCAUGCCUCAGGACUACCUGGCAUGAUGACUCCUUGCUGUCCCCAGUCCACCUGGCCGUGCUCCUGCUCCAGUUUCAACUGUUCUGCCUGCGGCUAUGGAAUCCUGACCUGUUCACCGGACGUGCUACCUGUCCCAGACCUGCUGUUUUCAACUCUCUAGAGACAGCAGGAGUGGUAGAGAUACUCUUAAUGAUCGGCUAUGAAAAGCCAACUGACAUUUACUCCUGAGGUGUUGACUUGCUGCACCCUCGACAACUACUGUGAUUAUUAUUAUUUGACCAUGCUGGUCAUUUAUGAACAUUUGAACAUCUUGACCAUGUUCUGUUAUAAUCUCCACCCGGCACAGCCAGAAGAGGACUGGCCACCCCUCAUAGCCUGGUUCCUCUCUAGGUUUCUUUGUUGUUUUCCUAUCUUGUCUGUGUAAUUCAAGGACAAGUUGACUGAGUGUGAUCUUGGAGGGAAGACACUGUGCUGACAAUAUAAAUAUAAACAGCAACUGUCAGGCCCAUUGACUGUUGUAUUAUUCAUUACAUGAGCUUGAAGCCACAACAGACAGUGAAGUCAUAUGUUUGUCCCAGUCCAUUAACAGUCAGCACUCCAUUUUAAUAUAGCCUUAUGGGUUUGUAGGUAUGUGGACUCCAUACCACACAAAUGCAUUAUAAGCCAAGACAAACAUGGACAUGCCAGGGGGAAUGCUUUGACGUUGCCAGAUUAUCCAAAUCGGAAAGAAGAUUGACCUUGUGAUAUUGCUAUGAGAUUGAGUGUGUGCAUUUAUAUGAAGUUCAUUUAUAUGGUGUUAACAAUUAUGUGGUAAGUCAUUAAUCGUUCACCACCCCAAUAUUACAUCUAGUGAUUGAAGAAGUGUUUUACCUGGCUAUGUGGAUCUACCGUUGAUUGCAAACUGUUGUUAUUUUAUUGUGAUAAAUGAUUAUGAUUGGGUGAA